rnacentral:rRNA from 1 species
GAUGAACGCUGGCGGCGUGCCUAAUACAUGCAAGUCGAGCGAACGGACGAGAAGCUUGCUUCUCUGAUGUUAGCGGCGGACGGGUGAGUAACACGUGGAUAACCUACCUAUAAGACUGGGAUAACUUCGGGAAACCGGAGCUAAUACCGGAUAAUAUUUUGAACCGCAUGGUUCAGAAGUGAAAGACGGUCUUGCUGUCACUUAUAGAUGGAUCCGCGCUGCAUUAGCUAGUUGGUAAGGUAACGGCUUACCAAGGCAACGAUGCAUAGCCGACCUGAGAGGGUGAUCGGCCACACUGGAACUGAGACACGGUCCAGACUCCUACGGGAGGCAGCAGUAGGGAAUCUUCCGCAAUGGGAGAAAGCCUGACGGAGCAACGCCGCGUGAGUGAUGAAGGUCUUCGGAUCGUAAAACUCUGUUAUUAGGGAAGAACAUAUGUGUAAGUAACUGUGCACAUCUUGACGGUACCUAAUCAGAAAGCCACGGCUAACUACGUG